UACGUAGGGUGCAAGCGUUGUCCGGAUUUAUUGGGCGUAAAGAGCGUGUAGGCGGCUUGGCAAGUCUGCUGUGAAAACUCGAGGCUCAACCUCGAGCUGUCGGUGGAAACUGCCUGGCUAGAGUCCGGAAGAGGUGAGUGGAAUACCCAGUGUAGAGGUGAAAUUCGUAGAUAUUGGGUGGAACACCGGUGGCGAAAGCGGCUCACUGGCUCGGUUCUGACGCUGAGGCGCGAAAGCGUGGGGAGCAAACAGG
rnacentral:rRNA from 1 species